AGUUGCCUCCAGCUAGCAACGUCAGAGGUAAUAUGGAUGACCUUGCUGAAUGCUGCAGCUUGUUACAUGGAUGUAUCCUGACUGAGGAAUCCUAGCACUCUCCAGAAAAUCUGAGUUGCAGUUAGCUGAGACUCCCCACCCCAGUAUAAAUCAUAAAAUCCAGCAAAGUGGAGACAAAACACUGUGGAGAACCAAGCCCUUCUAUAAUGCAGCUGACACAGUUAAAUAUGCCUAGUAGAACUUGUGACUGAAAGAAGAGCACUUGAGUUCACAUAAGAAGCCUGUACCCUGCACAUUUGUUAGAGUGACAGAGGAAGAUUCAGAAGACAAGCAGUGAGAAUGAGAGAGAAAUCAGUCAAAGACAAUCCUACCAAAAAAGUAAAAAUGUGGUAGGUACAUGGAACUGCUCUUUCUAUUUGUUGAUAGAGUGAAUAUUUAAAUACAAAACUAAGAAUUGAGGAAAACUUCGUAACUUUGCACAGAUGAGAGGAUCACUGGAGAAUGGGGCAGCUCAGGAUGGCUGAACUGCAAACAGAGAGAGGAAAGAUGGAGUAGAUUGUGGGUAUUUGUCACUGAAAGCAUAACCUCCUUCAUCUUUCUUCAGGCUUUGAGGUGUUUUAUCCUUCCUCUCUUUCUGUCACAAUGGGUUGUGCAUGGUCCAGGAACAAAGAAUUUAUUCUGGAAGUAGUUAGGAGCUCCAUGAAAUGCGGAUGCUGGAAGCAUGAUAGAAAUCCCUGCCCCCAAAUCUUCCAGGAGACAGUCUAAGCAAUGAAAAACAAUUUCAAAAAUAUGUAGCAGGAGUUCUGAAUGCACUGGUAGAUAUAAAAUAUAUAUAUGUAUAUUUAUAUAUUGAAAUAAGUAACCCAACUAGAAUUUAUUACUUUGAAAGCUGUGAAAAAAAUCAUGCUAGCAAACAUUUGAGUAUUCAAAUUAAGAUAUGACCUACAUGACUAUUUGAUCUCCAUGACUUUGCAGAUAUUUUUUGAGAAUAUGUUGGAUUGUUAUUUUCUGUGUGAUACAAACAAAUUUUGGUAAAAAAGAAGAUUUGACAAAGCUUGGGUUGGAAGGGGUAGUCUAACAAUCUACUGAGGAGAAUAUGAAGAAGAUUCUAAUUUAACCUAGCAAAAAUACUCUUCUUUGUCCUACGACAAUUUCAUUGGUAUAUCGAACAAGCCAUUGGUAAUUUUGAAUCUAGAGAAAACAAGCUAAAAUAUAAUGCACUGG
ensembl:lncRNA